rnacentral:rRNA from 1 species
CACGUGGUUAGCCGGCGCUUUCUCUGCACCUACCGUCACUUUCGCUUCUUCGAUGCUAACAGAGGUUUACAACCCGAAGGCCGUCAUCCCUCACGCGGCGUCGCUGCAUCAGGCUUGCGCCCAUUGUGCAAUAUUCCCCACUGCUGCCUCCCGUAGGAGUCUGGGCCGUGUCUCAGUCCCAGUGUGGCCGGUCACCCUCUCAGGCCGGCUACCCGUCGUCGCCUUGGUAAGCCAUUACCUCACCAACAAGCUGAUAGGCCGUGAGCCCAUCUAAAACCACUCCAUAACGCUUUCCACCAACACCCCAUGCAGAGAUUGGUCGUAUCCGGUAUUAGACCCAGUUUCCCAGGCUUAUCCCAGAGUCAAAGGUAGGUCACUCACGUAUUACUCACCCGUUCGCCACUAAUCCACGGUGCAAGCACCGCUUCAUCGUUCGACUUGCAUGUGUUAAGCACGCCGCCAGCGUUCGUCCUGUAGCCACGGAUCGAAACUCU